rnacentral:rRNA from 1 species
UACGUAGGGCGCAAGCGUUAUCCGGAAUUAUUGGGCGUAAAGAGCUCGUAGGCGGUUUGUCGCGUCUGCCGUGAAAAUCCGGGGACUCCAACCCCGGACUUGGCAGUUGGGUACGGGCAGACUAGAGUGCAGUAGGGGAGACUGGAAUUCCUGGUGGUAGCGGUGAAAUGCGCAGAUAUCAAGGAGGAACACCGAUGGCGAAGGC